UUCCAUUAAACUUUGGUCACUUUUUCAUUGAAAAAUGUGGUAACAUAUUUUUCUCGAAAAGGAUCUACUUUCUGAAAUUAAACUCCAACUUAAAGUAGAAGGCACUCAUUGUCAGAUCUGUUUAACAUUUUUGAGUAAUUAUGAAAAUAUGGCUGUUGAAUCUAAGAGUCAAGACGGUGACUGAUUCCCAGCUGUAAUCUAGUAUAAUGCCAGGGAAAUCAGAUGGGAUCCUGGCUGGUUUCCACUUCCUGAGGCUUUUUAUUCUGAGUUUAUUUUUAAGACUAAUUAUCCUCACCUACAUAAACUUCCUGGAUUCCAGAAUACGUAAUUGGCUGGUCAAGUGUCUCUGCUAUCCAGAUGAGAGUUACCUAUCACGCAUCCUCAAAGGGACCCAAAAUUUGGACCAGAUGCCACCCAUUCAGAUGUGCCAAGAGGAACAGAAGCGUUAAAUUGUGGCAGUAUUGGCCAACAUGUGUAGCUCAUUGUUGCAAACAAGUGCUCAGCCAAUGGAGUGGCAUAUUGUCAUUGUGACCCAUAACUGUUGGAAGAGUUCCAGAAAUGACAUUAUGCAUUAAUACAGAGCAGGUGGCAGGUAGGUACCCAAGAAGAAGAUCAUAGCUGGGUGCUGGCAACAUGAAGAUCUUUGAUGACGUGACAAGAGCAGCCUCCGCAGUGUGAUAGGAAAUGAAACCUGAGCGCAGCGAGGGGGGCAGAGAUGUUGAAAUGAGAAAGUCAUGACAACCUCCACAGAUACCUCUUUCCAGAGGCUUUGCUGUGAAGACUGAAACAACUGGGAACUUAUGUGGGAUGAAGAGCUGCCUCCGGUGGUCUCGGCAGUGUCUCAAGUCUCCCGUCGGGUAGAUUCUUGCAGAAUGAGGCUGGAAGUGCCACUCAGAGGAUCUGAUUCUAACCUCUGCAUAAGCAAAAACCCAGGCCUUGUGUUCCUCAAUUGGGGCCUGGGCUCUCAUAUGCCACUUAUUUUUUCUUAAGUGGAGCAAAGAUUGUGUCAAUAAAAGCAAAGAAUACUUGUUUCAUAUAUAUUUAAAGCUGACGAGUACUUUGUAUAUCACAUUAAGUAGGAAAUUGCUCCAGCCACACUUUGGUAUAUGCGAAUUUGUCAAUCCAUGCUUCUUGUUGAAAAUUUCCUAAGUCAUUGUCCUAAAACAUUUUAAGUAGGAAAGGAUUAUUUGUCAUGAUUGCUGAAAAACUAUCUUUGAGGGAGCACAGCGUCAGAGGUCCUUUAAUUCACUUGGUGGUUAAAAUGUGGGCAAGCACUGAAAGUAAUAUGAAUUCAGACUAAAACAAGAGAUGUGAGUCCAUUCUACUCUCUACUAGACAGAUGCCAUUUAGAGCAGUGCCCAACCUGGGUUUUCUGGACCUCUGAGGAG
rnacentral:lncRNA from 1 species